UACGGAGGGGGCGAGCGUUGUCCGGAUUUAUUGGGUUUAAAGGGUGCGUAGGCGGGUUAUUAAGUCAGUGGUGAAAGUCGGCGGCUCAACCGCAGGAGUGCCAUUGAUACUGGUAGUCUUGAGUACAGUAGAGGUAGGCGGAAUUUAAGGUGUAGCGGUGAAAUGCGUAGAUACCAUAAAGAACACCGAUAGCGUAGGCAGCUUACUAUUCUGUAACUGACGCUGAGGCACGAAAGCGUGGGGAUCGAACAGG
rnacentral:rRNA from 1 species